ensembl:miRNA
UCUGAAAGAGCAGUUGGUGUUUAUUUUUUACUAAACAGCAAUCGCUCUUUUGGAAG